UACGAAGGGGGCUAGCGUUGCUCGGAAUCACUGGGCGUAAAGCGCACGUAGGCGGAUUGUUAAGUCAGGGGUGAAAUCCUGGAGCUCAACUCCAGAACUGCCUUUGAUACUGGCGAUCUUGAGUCCGGGAGAGGUGAGUGGAACUGCGAGUGUAGAGGUGAAAUUCGUAGAUAUUCGCAAGAACACCGGUGGCGAAGGCGGCAUCCUGGACCGACACUGACGCUGAGGAGCGAAAGCCAGGGGAGCAAACGGG
rnacentral:rRNA from 1 species